CAAGCCAAGAGGGGGGGUGAAUUGGUUUCUUUUAAUUUUAACUAUCUUACUUGUAUUAAAUGAUGAGUUAGUGAACUUAAACAAAUCACAAUGCAAACAACAAGAAGUAUAGUGGUUCGGUGCUCUCCUUAGCACCUACGUCCACUCCCCAAGCGACCCCUUGAGAAUUUACUAUAAUCCCGCGGAUUACAGUUGGAUUGUUUUCCGGGCUCACAAUCUAAAAACCUUUACACUUUGGUUUUCCGGGUUCACCAAAAACCUAUGUUGGUUUUACGGGCUCACCAACGAACCUAUGUUGGUUUUCCGGGCUCACCAACGAACCUUUACAAUUGGUUUUCCGGGUUUACCAAUCAACCUAUUCCGUUGGUUUUGCGGGCUAACCAACCAACCUUUACAAGUAGUUUAAUAAACAAAGGAAGAAGAUUUAAGCUCCUAGAUGAGCAAAUAUAACAAUAUAGUCUACAAAGAAGAGUUUAGAGAAUAGUUAUCGCUUGAUAUGACUUCUCUCUUCUUUGUCAAGGAUGCUUCACUCUUCACGGGUGGAUGGAGCUCUUAAUGACUCUUUGAAUCUGCUCAACCACUUUCUUUUGACUCUUGAAUGAAGCACUUGAAUGAAGAAGAUUAGGGCACUUUCUCUUUCUUGUG
rnacentral:lncRNA from 1 species